UAAUUCCCUUGGACCCAUGCUGCC
rnacentral:piRNA from 1 species